rnacentral:rRNA from 1 species
AUACGGAGGGUGCAAGCGUUACUCGGAAUCACUGGGCGUAAAGGACGCGUAGGCGGAUUGGAAAGUCAGAUGUGAAAUCCUACAGCUUAACUGUAGAACUGCAUUUGUAACUUCUAAUCUAGAGUAUGGGAGGGGGAGAUGGAAUUAGUGGUGUAGGGGUAAAAUCCGUAGAUAUCACUAGGAAUACCGAAAGCGAAGGCGAUCUCCUGGAACAUAACUGACGCUAAGGCGUGAAAGCGUGGGGAGCGAACAGGAUUAGAAACCCCAGUAGUCC